rnacentral:rRNA from 1 species
UGGCGGCGUGGAUAAGACAUGCAAGUCGAACGAGAGAAUUGCUAGCUUGCUAAUAAUUCUCUAGUGGCGCACGGGUGAGUAACACGUGAGUAACCUGCCCCCGAGAGCGGGAUAGCCCUGGGAAACUGGGAUUAAUACCGCAUAGUAUCGAAAGAUUAAAGCAGCAAUGCGCUUGGGGAUGGGCUCGCGGCCUAUUAGUUAGUUGGUGAGGUAACGGCUCACCAAGGCGAUGACGGGUAGCCGGUCUGAGAGGAUGUCCGGCCACACUGGAACUGAGACACGGUCCAGACACCUACGGGUGGCAGCAGUCGAGAAUCAUUCACAAUGGGGGAAACCCUGAUGGUGUGACGCCGCGUGGGGGAAUGAAGGUCUUCGGAUUGUAAACCCCUGUCAUGUGGAAGCAAAUUAAAAAGAUAGUACCACAAGAGGAAGAGACGGCUAACUCUGUGCCAGCAGCCGCGGUAAUACAGAGGUCUCAAGCGUUGCUCGGAAUCACUGGGCGUAAAGCGUGCGUAGGCUGUUUCGUAAGUCGUGUGUGAAAGGCGCGGGCUCAACCCGCGGACGGCACAUGAUACUGCGAGACUAGAGUAAUGGAGGGGGAACCGGAAUUCACGGUGUAGCA